AAGAAGGAGAAACAUUAUCUAGGUGACGCUCCAGAGAUGAAGUGUGCUCCAGGGGUCAUGAUUGUACUGCUCUUACUGCUUGGACAAACCCAUGGAGACUCAGUGAACCAGACGGAAGGCCAAGUGAUCCUCUCAGAAGAGGCCUUCCUGACUAUAAACUGUACCUACUCGACAACAUGGCCCCCCACUCUUUUCUGGUAUGUCCAGUAUCUGGGAGAAGGUCCACAGCUCCUCCUGAAAGCAGUGACAGACAAGGAAAAGGGAAGCAACAAAGGUUUUGAAGCCACCUUGGACAAAACAUCCAGAUCCUUCCACUUGAAGAAAGGCUCGGUGCAACAGUCAGACUCAGCUGUGUACUACUGUGCCUUGAGUGACACAGUGAUAGGGACUGCAGGGGGAGCUGGGUGCAAACUCUGAGCAGAGCAGGGCCUGGAUGCCGAGCCUCUCUGACUGAUCCACUCUGGUUCCAGCACAGCCUGUGGCUGUUUGUCUUUCAAUGUCUGGUUGUUACAAAGUCAGACAAAUGGCUGGAGCUUAGGAACCAGAAGUGACAUUCCACAACAUCAAGUGUUCAUUAGUGACAUUUAAAAUAGUUUGAUGCCAAGAGUUCCUCAGCCAGGGAGUAAGCAAUUUCAACAUAAAUCCAUGUAACAAUGAGGUGGCACCUGCCUGAUUCUUGCUGUGAGAGUCCAGCCGCACAAGGUGAUCAGACAAUCCUGGUGGGUAGUACUGUGCCUUUUGACACUUUUAGAAAGACAAGGUGUGCCCAAGAUCGUGGCUUCUGCCCAUUGUCUUCCUGAUGGAGUAUGACGAGAGAGGUGAUGGGAGAGCUAGAGCUCCCAAACUCAGUUUUAGUAAAGAAAGAAGGGAAGGGAAGAAAGGAAUAGGAACAGGAAGAAAGAGGCCAGGGACUUCUGCCCUGCUUUCUUCUCUGGGAUAUCAGAUGGUAGACACAGGCUGGUGUUCAAAAUGAAGGCAUGGGGGCAGAAACAGAAUCAUGAAAGGGUUCAUGUCCUGGCCACUAAAAUAGAUCAGUU